AUUCCUUGAUGGUGGACCCGUCUUAAUCAGCAGACAUCCUCCCCCACACCCACGCUGGACCUGGAACACAGCAGGUGGGAGAACGCAAGGUAGCUUUAUCUGAGAUCAACCGAUCCCCUCCCCUGCCUCCUGAGCUCUGGGGCUAAGCCAAGAGGAAGCAAUCACAGCUCAGCACUGCAGUGUGCUCCACCAUCAGUUAAUCAGAGAAGCAGAGAGGAAGAAUGACAGACAGCAGACCUGCAUACUAGCUUCUCAAGCUGCUUUUCAAAGAGGCAAAGAAAACCCCAGAGAUGGACACAAA